GAUGAACGCUGGCGGCGUGCCUAAUACAUGCAAGUCGAGCGAACAGACGAGGAGCUUGCUCCUCUGACGUUAGCGGCGGACGGGUGAGUAACACGUGGAUAACCUACCUAUAAGACUGGGAUAACUUCGGGAAACCGGAGCUAAUACCGGAUAAUAUAUUGAACCGCAUGGUUCAAUAGUGAAAGACGGUUUUGCUGUCACUUAUAGAUGGAUCCGCGCCGCAUUAGCUAGUUGGUAAGGUAACGGCUUACCAAGGCGACGAUGCGUAGCCGACCUGAGAGGGUGAUCGGCCACCCUGGAACUGAGACACGGUCCAGACUCCUACGGGAGGCAGCAGUAGGGAAUCUUACGCAAUGGGCGAAAGCUUGACGGAGCAGCGCCGCGUGAGUGAUGAAGGUCUUCGGAUCGUAAAACUCUGUUAUUAGGGAAGAACAAAUGUGUAAGUAACUAUGCACGUCUUGACGGUACCUAAUCAGAAAGCCACGGCUAACUACGUG
rnacentral:rRNA from 1 species